GUAUAUCACUUUGGCAGCACAUAUACUAAAAUUGGACUGUUAAAGAGAAAAUUAGCAUGGUCCCUGCGCAAGGAUGACAUGCAAAUUCAUGAAGUGUUCUAUAUUUUU